rnacentral:lncRNA from 10 species
GCAGAAAAAUCCUCGCCAGAAGCCCAGCAGAUACCAGUGCCAUGCUUCUUGUACAGCCUACAGAAACUUGGAAAAUGUGUAAUACUGAAGUGGAUUAAAGAUAGACACAAAUUUUUGACACUGUUCUCAUCAAAAGGUGCUGAUAACCUUCAGAACAUGGCAGCUGCUUUCCUUCUGCCUCCCAGAACUCACAACUUCCCUUUGGACCAACUCCAAUCUGAAAUUAUGUAGAAAGGGAGAGUCUGAAAAACAUAGUCCCAAACAUAACCAAGUAGACAAUAGAACAAUCUGGCACAUUGAUUGGUAUUUUGACUUAACCGCCAGAUCACCAGCAGCUCAUUGUAGGCAGGCGCAAGUAAAUAUCUCACCUCAAAUGCAACAAGUACAAAAUGAAUGCAUCAUAGUGUCCCAGGCUUCCAUUAAACAAAAACAAAUAAAUAAAACAAACAAAAAGCAAUCUUUUAUCCCUCAGCUUUAUUAAUGCAUAACUAACAAAUAAAAAUGGUAUAUAUAUUUAUGGUGUACAUCAUGACAUUUCUUUCCGUGUAUACAAAAAGCAAUCUUUCUGAGUACUGCUCAGUUACCACUACCUCUAAGUGAUCCUGUGUAUUCCACACCCUAAGUGUCCAUCUGACCUUCCUCACUGCCCUGUGUCCCAGCAGUCUCUGCCUUCUAUCAAGCUUUCCUCUUUGCUUUCCCGCAUUAAUGAAGUGCUCCUCUCUCUUGCCACCCUGCCUCCAAUCUCGCCCUGCUCCAAACCUUCCAUUAAACCACAUGAAUCUUUCUAAAAUGUAAAAUUCUGCUUAUUUUACUUAAAUUAUUUUAGUGACUCCGUAUCACCUAUCAUAUACAUCUUUCUUGGUGUGAUAUGAAAGACCCCUCAUAUAUAUUCUGACCCCCACCUACAUUUUUAGCCCCUCUCCUGUCCUAAUCCCAAAUGCACUGUGCCCCAACUAUUUUAAACUAUUUGUAAAACCCUGAUUAUAGGAUUAUGUCAACACAGGAGUCUGUGUGCCUUCCUCCCCUUGCAAAUACAGUUGCCUGACAAACUCCUUCUCAUCCCAUAGGAUUUGACUCAAACAUGACCUUCUUUGUGGUGUCCUCCUUGUUUCCUCACCUUCUCCCAAUCCCCAAAGUCAGUCCAUAACAUUCUCCUAACAGUGGAUAGCAUGUGCCAUGCUGUACCAGGUCUGCUGAUUUACAUGUCUGUCUUCUGUGCUAGUUGUGAGCUCCUCAAUGUUAAGGACCACAUCUCAUUCAUCUUUGUAGUCCCAGACACUAACACUUCCCAGGUGCAUGGUAGGGGCUCAAUAAACAUUUGGUUAAGAAAUUAAUUGAUGAAUCACAAGAUCUGACAUGUUUAAAUAUUUUAUUCCAUAUUUAUAGCUGCUUCCAUACAAAUUAUGAUUCCCAUAAAACAUAGGUUUACAUUUACCAAAAAAAAAAUUAAUUUGGGGGUAAUCCAAUACAUGUACAUGGCCAAAUAAUGAAAUUCAGUUUAAAUCUUGAAAUGGCCCUAAAUCAUAUGACCUCAUUGAUCAGAUUAAUAAGAUUAUUUCUAAAUCUCAAUUUCACCAGUGAUGUUUAAACAUAUUUUUGACCUGCCAUUGGAAUACAGAACAACAAAGGAAACAUCUGGUUGUUCUUAACUUUGGGGAGACAAAUCCAUUUGUUAACAGUAGCAAUAGGAGAGCUGACAGAACCUGAUAACAGCUCCAACACAGGGAGCUCAGCCCACAACAGAUGGACCAGACACUUCAGGGAAAGCUUUAAAAAGAUGUCUUUUCUAAUUCAGGUUAUACACUCCUUGAAAGUUCCUUCAACAUAAGCAUGAAAGUUUGCAGAUGAUUUUAUCAGGUCUGACAGCUUUUUUCUAGAGGUUAGUUUGCAAUUGCCUCUCGG